rnacentral:rRNA from 1 species
AGCUACAGGCUUAACACAUGCAAGUCGAGGGGCAUCAGGAAGAAAGCUUGCUUUCUUUGCUGGCGACCGGCGCACGGGUGAGUAACACGUAUCCAACCUGCCCUUUACUCGGGGAUAGCCUUUCGAAAGAAAGAUUAAUACCCGAUGGCAUAAUGAUUCCGCAUGGUUUCAUUAUUAAAGGAUUCCGGUAAAGGAUGGGGAUGCGUUCCAUUAGGUUGUUGGUGGGGUAACGGCCCACCAAGCCUUCGAUGGAUAGGGGUUCUGAGAGGAAGGUCCCCCACAUUGGAACUGAGACACGGUCCAAACUCCUACGGGAGGCAGCAGUGAGGAAUAUUGGUCAAUGGGCGCUAGCCUGAACCAGCCAAGUAGCGUGAAGGAUGAAGGCUCUAUGGGUCGUAAACUUCUUUUAUAUAAGAAUAAAGUGCAGUAUGUAUACUGUUUUGUAUGUAUUAUAUGAAUAAGGAUCGGCUAACUCCGUGCCAGCAGCCGCGGUAAUACGGAGGAUCCGAGCGUUAUCCGGAUUUAUUGGGUUUAAAGGGAGCGUAGGUGGACUGGUAAGUCAGUUGUGAAAGUUUGCGGCUCAACCGUAAAAUUGCAGUUGAUACUGUCAGUCUUGAGUACAGUAGAGGUGGGCGGAAUUCGUGGUGUAGCGGUGAAAUGCUUAGAUAUCACGAAGAACUCCGAUUGCGAAGGCAGCUCACUGGACUGCAACUGACACUGAUGCUCGAAAGUGUGGGUAUCAAACAGGAUUAGAUACCCUGGUAGUCCACACAGUAAACGAUGAAUACUCGCUGUUUGCGAUAUACAGUAAGCGGCCAAGCGAAAGCAUUAAGUAUUCCACCUGGGGAGUACGCCGGCAACGGUGAAACUCAAAGGAAUUGACGGGGGCCCGCACAAGCGGAGGAACAUGUGGUUUAAUUCGAUGAUACGCGAGGAACCUUACCCGGGCUUAAAUUGCAGUGGAAUGAUGUGGAAACAUGUCAGUGAGCAAUCACCGCUGUGAAGGUGCUGCAUGGUUGUCGUCAGCUCGUGCCGUGAGGUGUCGGCUUAAGUGCCAUAACGAGCGCAACCCUUAUCUUUAGUUACUAACAGGUCAUGCUGAGGACUCUAGAGAGGCUGCCGUCGUAAGAUGUGAGGAAGGUGGGGAUGACGUCAAAUCAGCACGGCCCUUACGUCCGGGGCUACACACGUGUUACAAUGGGGGGUACAGAAGGCAGCUAGCGGGUGACCGUAUGCUAAUCCCAAAAUCCUCUCUCAGUUCGGAUCGAAGUCUGCAACCCGACUUCGUGAAGCUGGAUUCGCUAGUAAUCGCGCAUCAGCCACGGCGCGGUGAAUACGUUCCCGGGCCUUGUACACACCGCCCGUCAAGCCAUGGGAGCCGGGGGUACCUGAAGUACGUAACCGCAAGGAUCGUCCUAGGGUAAAACUGGUGACUGGGGCUAAGUA